UGUAUCAGCGUGUACUUCAUCCCUGAUUUUUUAAGUUUCUGUUUUCCUGUUUGAAGGUGAGAUGUAUGUGAGAGAAAACUAAAGAUAGAGUUAAACUUAUAUCUUGUCUGGGAUGAGUUGUGUAUUCCAUGUAGCGCCUUAACUACUCCCAACCCUGGGACCAUCUCAUGCCUGCUCCGUUUCGCGGAAUCAUAUUUGUAAAAUUAGAUUGAAAAUAAAUACCGAAGAUUUUUUCUAAGAUAGAAGACGAUUUUCUAUUCGUCCCUUCAAUUGUUAAGAAAUUCCGCUUCUUAGCAAAUAUUUCUGUCAAAUAAAAGCUGUCAAUAUUGAUAACGCAAAUGAGCUGUCAAUGCAGAAGGCUGUCAAUACAAAUAGCUGUCAUCACAGAUAACAGAGAAAACUGUGAAUACAGAAUGCUGUCAACAACUGUCAAUACAGCUAGCUGUCACCACAAUAGCACAGAGAGUUGUCAACAUACGUAGCUGUCAGCUCUGAUAACACAGAGAACAGUCAAAACAGAUGGCUGCAACACUGAUAACACAGAUAACUGUCAAAACAUUUAGCUAUCAUCUCUUAUAACACUGGUUGAGCCGUCAAAUUAUCAAACGUCAUGUUCCAGACACUGACAGCUCUCAAAUACGUUAGGCUCCCGUCACGUUACAGACAGCUGUCAAAUUCACAAACAGCAUCAAUAAAACGAAACAGUACGUUAUCUAGUACAUGAACAGUACAUUAUCUAGUACACGAACAGUACGUUAUAUAAAACACGAACAGUACGUUAUCUAUUAAACAAACAGUACGUUAUCUAUUAAACAAACAGUACGUUAUCUAAUACACAAACAGUACGUUAUCAAAUUACACAAACAGUACGUUAUCUAUUUUACAAAAAGUACGUUAUCAACUCCAAAAACAGUAAUCAAUCACGCAAACAGUAAUAAAUCACGAAAACAGCUAUCCAGUACACAAACAGGUAUCAAUUACACAAACAGCUCUCACUUACACAAACAGCUAUCAAUUACACAAACAGCUAUCAAGUACACAAACAGGUAUCAAUUACACAAACAGGUAUCAAUUACACAAACAGGUAUCAAUUACACAAACAGCUAUCAAUUACAUAACCAGCUAUCAAUUACACAAACAAUUAUUAAUCAGCCAUGAAUUGUACAUUGUACAGUAAUCUAAGAAAGAUAAAUAUUUAUCAUAUAGUUUAAUAACAUAUACCUGGUGCAUACAAAACUACAUUCUUUUUUAAACCAUUUUCAUCUUUCAUAACUUGUUAAGUAAUAUUUCCCAUGGGAGUCUAAAAAGAGUUUUUUUUUCUAAAGUUUCUAGAAAUUAAAUAUUCUCUGUUUUAAUAUUUUAAUAAAAAUUAAGAAUUUUCCAGGAGAAGUUAAUAAAGGGCUUUCAUUGGGGUGUAAUAUUUUUACUCUAGGUAGAUUAGAUAUUCUUUGAAUGGAAUCUAGAUUCUAGGUACUGAAGAAGAACCUCAAUUCUAAAUAUUCUCUUUUUCUCUAGUUCUUAUCCAAAGACUGUUGUCAAAUCAUAAUUAUAAUUGUAAUUAUAAUUAUAAUUAUAAUUAUAAUUUUCAGUCCUGGAAAAACUUUUUUUCUCUAAUGGAAUAAUUAAAGUACAUUCUUCUGUAUGAUUUGUACGUUUAAAUACGUUUAGGUACGUUUUAUGUACGUUAAGGUACAUAGCUCAAGAUUCUAAUUAAACUUAAUUUAAGAGAGGAAUCGCGUAGUGAUACUUCAGAAAUCACUGGUUUAAACAAAUUUUGUCGUUUGAUUAUAAACUGUAUUUUUAUAUAUUAUGUUGUUGUGAAACUCCUCAAGGGGGGCUGUAAAAUAUCCUUAAGUUGCCCCUAAUUGUAAAAAAUUCCACUUGCCUCUAAUUCAUGGUUUAAUUUUAGCCAACAAAUUCCAAAGCUUUCACUGAAUGUUCACUGUAAAGGGUUUCUUUAGUAAACAUAAAGAGUGGAAAAUAUUUUCAUUAUAUUUUAGCGUUUAUUGACCAAUCCUGUAUUUUUGUUUUAAAAUACUAAUUUUGCUAAUUUUUAGCAAAGUUUUGUACACGUAGUAGAUCAUUAUAUAGUUUAUGUAUUUAAAACUAAAUAUAUAUAAUGUCACCUA